CCCUAACAGUGGCAAUAGCUAGCACACCUUUGGAAUUCUCCCCAACAAUUCCUAACCUAAUCCUGCAUAAGAAUUAAAGCGCCAACCAAGAAAAAGCAGAAGUUGAAAGAGAGGCGGGGCUGGGGAACAGGAGGUCGGGUGGUGCAGAGACUCCGAAGGUUGUUGACAUUGCACCUUCAAGCAACCACAUACACACUAUGCAGAAAUCCCUGCCAUCACUGUCCUGUGGCCUGACCACACAGCAUUACUUUUGGAGAAGAAAGUCCAUGCAGCCUAUGGCCCGAAGGUGAACUGUGGCAUCUGCCCAUCUCCAUGCUGUGAGGACACAAUCUGCGAAAGGGCACACACCCAGCUGAGGCCAACUUGACUUUCAGUGAGUCUCUUGGCCUAGCACAUCUGUGUUAGCGGCUCUGAGGCUCAGCCGGUUCUCCAAAGGUGGCUCUGCAUACAUGAGGCAGCCGUACAAAAUCUGCAUAAAAAUUGUGAAUUGUCAGGGACCCACAGUUCCUGAAUCAAUCUGACUUUUGGCCAAUAAAAUUUACAUUUCUUUAAGAAAAUAA